rnacentral:rRNA from 1 species
GAUCAUGGCUCAGGACGAACGCUGGCGGCGUGCUUAACACAUGCAAGUCGAACGAAGAGCGAUGGAAGCUUGCUUCUAUCAAUCUUAGUGGCGAACGGGUGAGUAACGCGUAAUCAACCUGCCCUUCAGAGGGGAAUAGCAGCUGGAAACGGCUGAUAAAACCGCAUAAGCGCACAGUGCCGCAUGGCACAGUGUGAAAAACUCCGGUGGUAUGAGAUGGACCCGCG